rnacentral:lncRNA from 1 species
UGGAGAAACCAUGCUAUUGAGGAAAUGACCUGGGAGUUGGAAACGGAAAUGAAAGCGAGGUAUCCUCAUCUUUUCAAAACACCAGGUACGUACGUCAAUUUCGAGGACGAAAUUUCAUAAGGAGGGGAGGUUGUAAGACCCCAAAUUAUUAAUAAAUGAAAUUUAUUUUCCUCUAUUUAUUAUUUUGAAAUAGUAAGGGUUGAUUUGAUU